ensembl:lincRNA Gm45055 predicted gene 45055
ACGGGGAAAGGCUGUCCCCAGGUGCACAGAGGACUGAUCCCCGGAGACCAGUCCCCAGCAGGCCAGCUGGGUGAGGAGGGCAAGGAAUGAAGAUGUUUAUAUGUGACGAGACUGAAGCUCGACUUGUCAUCUCUAAGUGCACGUAGCUGUGGAUUCCUAGAACUGGGCAGCCCUGCUCUACAGUGCGACAACAUGAAGGCCAGCAGUCAUUGGACAACAGGGAGAAAGGAGUUCAGCACCUGUGAAGCAAAGCCAAGAAGUGGCACCUGCAGGCUGGCAGAGCUAUCGCUGGUCCUGAAGCUGAGAGACAGGGUUCCCAGGAACAUCUUGACCGAGUUCCCCGCUUCCACGACACCACGGUGGCAGGUGCCGAACAUCUCCUGGUCACCUGUGAUGUAUCAAAUCCACAAAUAUCUCUGGAGAAACACCUCUGAAGGGCCAACAGGGAUAGUAGCAAGCAGCGGAAACUGUCCCUGAAGCCAAAUGGAGCCUUCCCUUGGUCACCGUGGCUUUUUGGAUCACCACAUUUUCCUAGUUUUUCUACAAAUCAAUUUUCUUCAAGGAGAAGCGUUUGAAUUUUUAGCUGG